AAAUUACUAAUAUUUUAUUACAUGAAAACAUAAGGAUUACAUAACCAAAAUCAAAUUAAAAAAAGAAACAAAUACCAUAGUACUUUAGAAUCAUCAAGAUUUAAGAACAUAUACAUAUAAAAAAUAUCAUUCUUCAACCACUGAUGAAGUCGACAAGCUUGUUCAAAAACUUCAAAGCCUUAUCAGAAUCAGGUUUCUGCAAAUGAAACACAUGUCCUUCAUCUUUCUCCUCAACCACUUCCACAGUCCCUCCCCACUCACACUUCUCCAGCUUCGCCGCGUAAGCCAAAGCUUGCCUCGCAAACACAUCUUUCCCAGCCACAGCAACCAAAACCUUCUCACAACCCAACCCCGUAAAAUCCGACCCGGAUCCGUUUACGUUAAACAACGGGUCGUCAGUUCCGUUCACACUAUUCGGACUCGCGACUUUUUCCCAAACCUCCGCGAUUCCGCUUCUCGUCUCUUUGUCUUGCACAUCGAACUCAUCGACCGGAUCUGUUCCCCAGAAAGCUGGAUGAACAACUCCGAUGCCUUUGAUUUUGAUACCUAGCUUCUUCUCUUCACCAGCUUUCAUCGCCAGGUGAUGCGAUAUGUUACCUCCGGCGCUGUCUCCGGCGAGGAACACUCUCCCGAAAUCCGCGUGUUUGUUAAUCCAAUCUUCAGGACCACCAGAUCCGUUAGCAUGAGAGAAGGUCCAUUGGAUCGCGGACCAUACAUNNN
rnacentral:lncRNA from 1 species